AGUUAACCAAGAAAACAGGAAGCCUGACUUGGGCCAGGUGACUUAUAUUGAAAUAGAGAAGACACUCAGUGAAAUCAUAUAACAUAAUUGCACUUGUUUUGCUACCUUGAAGGAUAAGUUCCAAAGAACUGUCCUAUCUGGUUGGAUGGUCAGUGCUUGUCAGUCUGGGUAAGUUCUCUGUGAAGAUAUUAUUAUUUUACAAAUGAACCCAUAUUUACAUUCUUACUUUU
rnacentral:lncRNA from 1 species